rnacentral:rRNA from 1 species
AUUGAACGCUGGCGGCGUGCUUAACACAUGCAAGUCGAUCGGUAACAGGUGUAGCAAUACGAUGCUGACGAGAGGCGGACGGGUGAGUAAUGCUUGGGAAUCUGCCUAUUAGUGGGGGACAACCCGGGGAAACUCGGGCUAAUACCGCAUACGCUCUACGGAGGAAAGCCGGGGACCGCAAGGCCUGGCGCUAAUAGAUGAGCCCAAGUCGGAUUAGCUAGUUGGUAGGGUAACGGCCUACCAAGGCGACAAUCCGUAGCUGGUCUGAGAGGACGACCAGCCACACCGGAACUGAGACACGGUCCGGACUCCUACGGGAGGCAGCAGUGGGGAAUAUUGGACAAUGGGGGCAA